rnacentral:rRNA from 1 species
UACAGAGACCUCAAGCGUUGUCCGGAUUUAUUGGGCGUAAAGAGCAGGUAGGCGGUUUUGUUAGUCAGAUGUCAAAUCUCGGGGCUCAACUCCGAAACUGCAUUUGAAACGGCAAGACUAGAGAGCGGGAGGGACCACUGGAACUUAUGGUGUAGCAGUGAAAUGCGUUGAUAUCAUAAGGAACACCAAAGGCGAAGGCAUGUGGUUGGCCCGUUUCUGACGCUGAGCUGCGAAAGCGUGGGUAGCGAAUGGG